GCCAUAUCAAGUUGAAACACCGGUUCUCAUCCGAUCAUAGAAGUUAAGCAACGUCCAGCUUGGCCAGCACUGAGAUGGGUGACAGCUUGGGAAUACCAGAUGCUGUAA